GUCCAGUCUUGUACCCCUAGCCCCUCCGCCCCAGGUCCAGUCUUGUACCCCUAGCCCCUCCGCCCCAGGUCCAGUCCUGUACCCCUAGCCCCUCCACCCCAGGUCCAGUCCUGUGCCCCUACCCCAGGUCCAGUCCUGUACCCCUAGCCCCUCCGCCCCAGGUCCAGUCCUGUACGCCUAGCCCCUCCGCCCCAGGUCCAGUCCUGUACCCCUAGCCCCUCUGCCCCAGGUCCAGUCCUGUACCCCUAGCCCCUCUGCCCCAGGUCCAGUCUUGUGCCCCUCCGCCCCAGGUCCAGUCUUGUGCCCCUCCGCCCCAGGUCCAGUCUUGUGCCCCUCCGCCCCAGGUCCAGUCUUGUACCCCUAGCCCCUCCGCCCCAGGUCCAGUCUUGUGCCCCUAGCCCCUCCGCCCCAGGUCCAGUCUUGUGCCCCUAGCCCCUCCGCCCCAGGUCCAGUCUUGUACCCCUAGCCCCUCCGCCCCAGGUCCAGUCUUGUGCCCCAGGUCCAGUCUUGUGCCCCUAGCCCCUCCGCCCCAGUCUUGUGCCCCUAGCCCCUCCGCCCCAGGUCCAGUCUUGUGCCCCAGGUCCAGUCUUGUGCCCCUAGCCCCUCCGCCCCAGGCCCAGUCCUGUGCCCCUCCGCCCCAGGCCCAGUCCUGUGCCCCUCCGCCCCAGGCCCAGUCCUGUGCCCCUCCGCCCCAGGCCCAGUCCUGUGCCCCUCCGCCCCAGGCCCAGUCCUGUGCCCCUCCGCCCCAGGUCCCAGUCCUGUGACCCUCCACCCCAGGCCC
rnacentral:lncRNA from 1 species